rnacentral:rRNA from 1 species
UCACACUGGAACUGAGACACGGUCCAGACUCCUACGGGAGGCAGCAGUGGGGAAUAUUGCACAAUGGGCGCAAGCCUGAUGCAGCAACGCCGCGUGGGUGAAGAAGGCUCUUGGGUCGUAAAGCCCUUUCGACAGGGAAGAAGGGUCUCGUGGUGAACAAUCACGAGAUUUGACGGUACCUGAUGAAGAAGCACCGGCUAACUUCGUGCCAGCAGCCGCGGUAAUACGAAGGGUGCAAGCGUUGUUCGGAAUCACUGGGCGUAAAGCGCACGUAGGCGGGUUCGUGUGUCGAUUGUGAAAGCCCCGGGCUCAACCUGGGAAUUGCAGUCGAAACUGCGGAUCUUGAAUACCUGAGAGGGUGGGGGAAUUGCUGGUGGAGAAGUGAAAUUCGUAGAUAUCAGCAGGAACACCUGAGGCGAAGGCGCCUACCUGGCAGUGUAUUGACGCUGAGGUGCGAAAGCGCGGGGAGCAAACAGGAUUAGAUACCCUGGUAGUCCGCGCCGUAAACGAUGGAUACUAGGCGUUCGGAGAGUUAACCCUCUGAGUGCCAAAGCUCACGCAUUAAGUAUCCCGCCUGGGGAGUACGGUCGCAAGGCUAAAACUCAAAGGAAUUGACGGGGGCCCGCACAAGCGGUGGAGUAUGUGGUUUAAUUCGAAGCAACGCGCAGAACCUUACCUAGCCUUGACAUCCCGUGACAGCUCCAGAGAUGGAGUCUUCCCUCCGGGGACACGGAGACAGGUGCUGCAUGGCUGUCGUCAGUUCGUGUUGUGAAAUGUUCGGUUAAGUCCGGCAACGAGCGCAACCCCUGUCCUUAGUUACCAGCAUUAAGUUGGGGACUCUAGGGAGACUGCCGGUGUCAAACCGGAGGAAGGCGGGGAUGACGUCAAGUCCUCAUGGCCCUUACGGCUAGGGCUACACACGUACUACAAUGGCAGAAACAAACCGUCGCGAA